UGUCGUUUCUCUCUGUCGGAUUCAAGAGAAGGCUAGGUCGGUAAUUUCCCCUUCUCUCGUUCUUCGUUCUUUUUCUCUGGGAUCUUCUAUCUUCCUCUUCGUUAUCCUGAAGAGCUCUAAUCACUUCCCUUUAUGUUCCAUGGAUAAAAGUAACUUUUGUAUCCUGAAAGGUUUGUCUCCUCUAUGUUACAUGGAAAACAACAGAUUCAUUUUUUGCCAUAAUUCGAAGACGAACGUUUCGUUCCAAUUCCCCAUAGAUUUGCUCCUCCAAACAAGAAGAAAACACAAUCGUAUGUUUUGUUUGAUCUCUUGGAAUGAAAUCAAAAACACAAUCCCCUUCAUAAGCUUGGAAUGAAAUCAAAAACAAGAAAACAGAAUACACUUGCUCCGUCACAAGAACAUUCAUGUUUGUUGCUUGGGCUCUAUAAAAGUAAAGGAAGGUGUGUGUUGGUCCUCUAUGCAUUUCUAAGGAUAAGAUAUAUGUACACCAACAUUUUUGGAGUGUUGAAAAAAGGAAGAUAUUUAUUUUUUAA